CGAGAACCCUAAAAAAUCUAAAUCUUAUUUUCUCUUCUUCUUUUCUCUUCUUCAUCCUCUUCACACCUUCUUCUUCUUUCUCCCUAGGGUUAAGAGUAACGAGAAGCUAAGAUUUUGGCUCAGCAGCCAUGAGUGAGUUGAGAGAGAACGAAUUGAAGUUGCGAUGAAGUGUUUGAGCUUGUCGACGAUGGUGGUAAAGGCUGGGUACGAUCGACCGUACAAAGAGUGCCAACGAGUGUCGUGGAGGCUAGAGAGGCAGAGUAAUCGAUGUGGGGAAAAGGUGGAGGAGGGAAAAGUGCGGUGCGACAGAUGAAGAUCUCGUGACUCUUCAAGGCAUGGCGGAGGCGUCUCUUUCUAUUAAUCUCGCCGAGCGAAAGGAGCAGGUCCCGAUCUCAUUCGUUUGAUUUUAGCUGCACCAGAUGGGUCGAUCCAAGUCUUUACGACGCCUGCGAAACGAGCAAGCUCAGAACCGCCGGAAAUCUAAACUACCCAUCGUUCGCCGUGGGAAGAAAAUCUAAAAUUACAGAGCAAGACUUAUUUCUUUUUCCUGAUUGGCUUUGUAUCAUCUUUCUCGGUUUCAGUGUGUUCUUUGUUUGUGUUAUGUGUUGCGCUGGCUUGUGUUAUUGGACUUGCUGUUUGCUGUUGUCUUCCAUGUAUAAUUGCAAUUAUUUAUGUUGUUGCAGACCAGGGAAGAUUGAAGAGAUAGAGCUUCCUACUCCUAAAGUGGAUGUGAUUAUAUCUGAAUGGAUGGGUUACUUUUUGUUGUUUGUAAACAUGUUGGACAAUGUCUUAUACGCUCGUAAUAAAUGGCUUGUUGAUGGUGGAGUUGUGCUACCAGACAAAGCCUCCCUGCAUCUUACUAGAUAGGAAGGGUAUCAGAUUUGUGGAAUAAAGGAUUUGCAGAUCUCUCAAGACCAGAAGAGUUUCGUGUGACCUUUGAGAGGUUUGGACAUGUGAGAGAUGUCUAUCUUCCCCCAAGAUAAGUGAGCUCCUUUCCAAA